UACGUAGGGGGCAAGCGUUGUCCGGAUUUAUUGGGCGUAAAGAGCGUGUAGGCGGCCAGACAGGUCAGCUGUGAAAACUCGAGGCUCAACCUCGAGACGUCGGUUGAAACCGUCUGGCUAGAGUCCGGUAGGGGCCCACGGAAUUCCUGGUGUAGCGGUGAAAUGCGUAGAUAUCAAGUGGAACACCAGUGGCGAAGGCGAGUCUCUGGACAUUUCCUGACGCUGAGGCACGAAAGCCAGGGGAGCAAACGGG
rnacentral:rRNA from 1 species